UACGUAGGGUGCAAGCGUUGUCCGGAAUUAUUGGGCGUAAAGAGCUCGUAGGCGGUCUGUCGCGUCGGCUGUGAAAACCUGGGGCUCAACCCCGGGCUUGCAGCCGAUACGGGCAGACUAGAAUUCGGUAGGGGAGACUGGAAUUCCUGGUGUAGCGGUGAAAUGCGCAGAUAUCAGGAGGAACACCGGUGGCGAAGGCGGGUCUCUGGACAGUUCCUGACGCUGAGGCACGUAGGCCAGGGGAGCAAACGGG
rnacentral:rRNA from 1 species